CCGCUCCUCCGCUCUCUCCACUGGCUUCCAGUUGAAGCUCGCAUCUGCUACAAGACCAUGGUGCUUGCCUACGGAGCUGUGAGGGGAACGGCACCUCAGUACCUCCAGGCUCUGAUCAGGCCCUACACCCAAACAAGGGCACUGCGUUCAUCCACCUCUGGCCUGCUCGCCUCCCUACCACUGAGGAAGUACAGUUCCCGCUCAGCCCAGUCAAAACUGUUCGCUGCUCUGGCCCCCCAAUGGUGGAACAAACUCCCUCACGACGCCAGGACAGCGGAGUCAAUCACCACCUUCCGGAGACACCUGAAACCCCACCUCUUUAAGGAAUACCUAGGAUAGGAUAAGUAAUCCUUCUCACCCCCCCCCCCUUUAAGAUUUAGAUGCACUAUUGUAAAGUGACUAUUCUACUGGAUGUCAUAAGGUGAAUGCACCAAUUUGUAAGUCGCUCUGGAUAAGAGCGUCUGCUAAAUGACUUAAAUGUAAUGUAAUUAAAUAACAUGGGAUGAAAAAGGUUACGGGCUCAGGAAGUAGUUCACUACUCACCAGAACUCAUUGGGUGGAAUCAAAAAUAGUAGAGUAGCAAAGCCACUCACAGACACUUGGAAAGUACUGCAGAUUUACAUGAAAGUACUGGAGAUUUACAUGAAAGUACUGCAAAUGUACAUGAAAGUACUGCAAAUGUACAUGAAAGUACUGCAGCUUUACAUGAAAGUACUGCAAAUGUACAUGAAAGUACUGCAGAUUUACAUUAAAGUACUGCAAAUGUACAUGAAAGUACAGCAAAUGUACAUGAAAGUACUGCAGCUUUACAUGAAAGUACUGCAGCUUAACAAAGUACUGCAUCUUUACAUUGAAGUACUGCACAUUUGCAAAGUACUGCAGCUUUACAAAGUACUGCACCUUUACAAAGUACUGCAACUUUACAAAGUACUGCAGCUUUACAAAGUACUGCCACCUUUACAAAGUACUGCACCUUUACAAAGUACCGCAACUUUACAAAGUACUGCAACUUUAUAAAGUACUGCAGCUUUACAAAGUACUGCAACUUUAUAAAGUACUGCAGCUUUACAAAGUACUGCACCUUUACAAAGUACUGCAGCUUUACAAAGUACUGCAGCUUUACAAAGUACUGCAACUUUACAUGUCCACUGAUUCACCUAAUUGCAUCUAUCUGCCAAUUGGAAAGGCAACCGUGUUCUGUAGGAUUGUUGAAGGUCUGUAACCGUGUUCUGUAGGAUUGUUGAAGGUCUGUAACCGUGUUCUGUAGGAUUGUUGAAGGUCUGUAACCGUGUUCUGUAGGAUUGUUGAAGGUCUGUAACCGUGUUCUGUAGGAUUGUUGAAGGUCUGUAACCGUGUUCUGUAGGAUUGAUGAAGGUCUGUAACCGUGUUCUGUAGGAUUGAUGAAGGUCUGUAACCGUGUUCUGUCUGAUUGAUGAAGGUCUGUAACCGUGUCCUGUCUGAUUGAUGAAGGUCUGUAACCGUGUUCUGUCUGAUUGUUGAAGGUCUGUAACCGUGUUCUGUCUGAUUGAUGAAGGUCUGUAACCGUGUUCUGUAGGAUUGAUGAAGGUCUGUAACCGUGUCCUGUGUGAUUGAUGAAGGUCUGUAACCGUGUCCUGUGUGAUUGUUGAAGGUCUGUAACCGUGUUCUGUAGGAUUGAUGAAGGUCUGUAACCGUGUUCUGUAGGAUUGAUGAAGGUCUGUAACCGUGUUCUGUCUGAUUGAUGAAGGUCUGUAACCGUGUUCUGUAGGAUUGUUGAAGGUCUGUAACCGUGUUCUGUAGGAUUGUUGAAGGUCUGUAACCGUGUCCUGUGUGAUUGAUGAAGGUCUGUAACCGUGUUCUGUAGGAUUGAUGAAGGUCUGUAACCGUGUCCUGUGUGAUUGAUGAAGGUCUGUAACCGUGUUCUGUAGGAUUGAUGAAGGUCUGUAACCGUGUCCUGUGUGAUUGUUGAAGGUCUGUAACCGUGUCCUGUGUGAUUGAUGAAGGUCUGUAACCGUGUCCUGUGUGAUUGAUGAAGGUCUGUAACCGUGUCCUGUGUGACUGAUGAAGGUCUGUAACCGUGUCCUGUGUGACUGAUGAAGGUCUGUAACCGUGUCCUGUGUGACUGAUGAAGGUCUGUAACUGUAUAGCAACAGUUCAGUUAAAACCAGUCUUGGAAACACCAACAGAUAUUGCCAUACAUUUGACAGCCCUUUUACAUGUCCCCAAUAUUCCAUUGGGUUGGAGGCC